rnacentral:misc_RNA from 1 species
GCAGUGAUCCGUUUAUCGUAAUCACGGAGGCGAUAAGGGCGGUGAAGUUACAUCUCAAGACUUUCCGCCAACGGCACGAGAAGAAGCUCCCCAAAAUUGUUGAUUACUUUGGGUGGUGUACUUGGGAUGCUUUUUAUCAAGAAGUUACUCAAGAAGGCGUUGAAGCCGGACUCAAAAGUCUUACAGCUGGUGGUAUUCCGCCAAAAUUCAUCAUCAUCGACGAUGGCUGGCAGUCAGUCGGUGGUGAUCCAGAAGUUGAUAAACCAUUGAUGAGACUUACAGGAUUAAAAGAAAACGAAAAAUUUCAGAAGAAAGAAGAUCCAACAUUGGGGAUUAAAAACAUUGUGAAUAUAGCUAAAGAGAAAUACGGCCUGAACUAUGUGUAUGUAUGGCACGCAAUAACGGGUUAUUGGGGCGGAGUCCGACCCGGAGUUAAGGGGAUGGAGG